GACGAACGCUGGCGGCGUGCUUAACACAUGCAAGUCGAACGGAAAGGCCCUGCUUUUGUGGGGUGCUCGAGUGGCGAACGGGUGAGUAACACGUGAGUAACCUGCCCUGGACUUUGGGAUAACUUCAGGAAACUGGGGCUAAUACCGGAUAGGAGCUCCUGCUGCAUGGUGGGGGUUGGAACGUUUCGGCGGUUGGGGAUGGACUCGCGGCUUAUCAGCUUGUUGGUGGGGUAGUGGCUUACCAAGGCUUUGACGGGUAGCCGGCCUGAGAGGGUGACCGGCCAGAUUGGGACUGAGAUACGGCCCAGACUCCUACGGGAGGCAGCAGUGGGGAAUAUUGCACAAUGGGCGGAAGCCUGAUGCAGCAACGCCGCGUGCGGGAUGACGGCCUUCGGGUUGUAAGCCGCAUUCGCCUGUGACGAAGCGUGAGUGACGGUAAUGGGUAAAGAAGCACCGGCUAACUACGUG
rnacentral:rRNA from 1 species